rnacentral:rRNA from 1 species
CCCUUAGAUGUUCUGGGCUGCACGCGCGCUAUACUGAUGCGAUCAACAAGUUUUUCCUAUGUCGAUAGACACGGGUAAUCUUUUGAACUCGCAUCGUGAUGGGGAUAGAUUAUUGUAAUUAUUAAUCUUCAACGAGGAAUUCCUAGUAGGUGCAAAUCAUCAGUUUGCAUCGAUUACGUCCCUGCCCUUUGUACACACCGCCCGUCGCUGCUACCGAUUGGUUGAUCUGGUGAAUUAUUCGGACUGCCGGCUGAAGGGGUUUCCUCAUCUGCCAGCGGAAAGUCUUGUUAACCCUAUCAACUAGAGGAAGCAGAAGUCGUAACA